CCGUCGUUCCUCAGCAAACUCAAGAAGCUGACGUACAUUGGGCUGUCGUUCAACAGCUUCUCCGGCACGAUUCCGGCGUCGCUCUCCCAGCUCCCGAACCUCGGCGGCCUCGGUUUGGACCGGAACAAACUCACCGGCUCAAUCCCGGAAUCUUUCGCCGAUUUCCGGCAGCAGGAUUUCUACCUCUACCUCUCACAUAAUCAGCUGACGGGGAAUAUUCCGGCGAGAUUGGGGCACGCCAACUUCACGUGGAUCGAUGUAUCAAGAAACAGGCUUGAAGGUGACAUAUCGUUCUUGUUCGGGAAGAACAAGAGCUUAAACACCGCCGAUUUUUCGAGGAACAUGUUUCAGUUCGAUUUCUCCAAGGUGGAGUUUUCGGAGAGCUUGAGGAAUCUGGAUCUGAACCACAACAGGAUUACGGGGAGAUUGCCGGAGGGAUUGGCUAAGAUGGGUGAUCUUAUUUCUCUGAACGUGAGUUACAAUCGGCUUUGCGGCAAGAUUCCGGUGGGCGGGAGUUUGCAGAGGUUUGAAACGACGUCGUAUUUCCACAACAAGUGCUUGUGUGGUGCCCCGUUGCCGAAAUGCAAAUGAUUUUAUUAUUAUUAUUAUUAUGGAAUAUUCCUGCAAAUUAGUAUUAUAUUGCAGAUGCAUUUGCGGCGCUUAAAUUAUUAAUUAAUUGUAAUCUUCAUAACAUGUUAUGAAUUUGAAAUAAAUUUUAAGCCCUUAAAUUAUUAAUUGCAAUCUUAGUGAUAUUAUCAAUCUAAAUUAAAAAUUGGGUAAAAUUCAUUUUACCUACCUGAACUAUACCCAACGUAUAAAAUACAUCCCUGAACUUCAAAAUGUAUCAAACCAGCCCCUCCGUUAAAAAUCCAUCCACCUCUGCUGACAUGGCACAUUGACUUUUAAAAUUAUAUCCAGUGGCAUGACAAGUGGCUUUUUCCGGACAAUUUUACCCCUGCAGUACUUUCAUAUAUGGUCUAAUUAGAGGGGUUUUUGUGAAUCAGUUAAUGCAAUUAAAUAUUUAAUUUUUAUUUUUCCUCAAAUAAAUAAAUAAUUAAAAUAAACUGUGAAUCAAUAUUUAGUUUUUAUUUGUGACUUUUUUUUUUGAGUAAAAAAGUAAAGUAAUCUAAUUAAAUGAAAAAACACAAUAUAAUUAAAAGAAGUCCUAAUCCAAUUAGCUUGGUCAGACCCUCCUAAUGGACUCAUCUCCUUCGCAGCUGCACCAUAUCACGACCCAAUUUGAAUUCUUCAAGAUUCAAAUUCCUGGAGAACACAAGAAACGAAUUCGGAGGAAAACCAAAGAGAAACCCAAUACAAAUCCCUUUUAAAAAGGUCACAAAAUCAGAAAUUGGGGCACACAAGAAACGGGUUGAUGUUUUCGUCGGAUUCCGCCGACAUCUUGGCCGUGUAGGGCGGAGCGAAGUCGGAGCUGCGCUGGUUUCGCAACGAAGAGUUCAAAUUUCUUCUGGAUUUCAUUUUUUUCCGGUCGCCACCGCCAACGGAAACCCAAAUAGGGGUUUGUGAGAAGCUUGACCUCCCGCCGGAAAAACAUGAGCUAAUCCUUAAUUUCAGAUGUGUGAAAGUAGGUUUUAUUGUUUUAUGGGUCAUGGUACUAGAGAGAGAAGAGGAACAAUGGUGAUGUGUUUGAUGAACAUCACUUCUGUAGAAAGAAAGAAAAGGGACGAAGAAGAAAGAAAGAAAAUGAAGGAUGAGGGAGAAAAAGUUGGAGAGAUAAUAUGACUGGACAAAAAUGUAAAAACACAUAAAAAACUAACGGAGUUAAAAAUUGUAACGGUUUUAACGUUGACUCAAAAUUCAGAGGGACUAUCUUGGUUCAUUUCAAAGUUCAGGGGGGGUAUUUUAUACGUUGGAUAUAGUUCAGGUAGGUAAAAUGAACUUUACCCUUAAAAAUUUAAAGUACACGUGAAAUAAUAAAAAGAUUUGCAUGUAUUAUUGCAUUAUGGCACGUGAAACUAACCCUAAGAUAUUUUUGUAAUAUUAUUUUAAAAAAGUUUUUCUUUCAUUUUUUUAUAUUCCACCUAAUCAUAUUUUUUUGGGUAAGUUACAACUAUACCUGAGGUAUGGUUAAAUUAUAAGAAACACCCUCUUGUUUGGGUAUUUACAACCACCCCUUCAACUAUAAAUCUUCUUAUACGUCCACCCCUGCGGUUUCAAAUUUAGUGAAAUCUUCAAGAUUAUAUGGAAUAUUAUCUUCGAGGUGUAAGAAAAAAUCAUAGUUGAGGGGAGUAGAUGUAAUUAUCCAAACAAGAGAGGUUUUUUCAUAAAUUGACCAUACCUCAGGGGUGUUUGUAAUUUACCCUAUUUUUUUUUUAUAUAUCUACAACAACUUAUUUUAUCCCACAAAAAUCUCUCAAUUAAUUUACUAACACUUCACUUUUUUGUUAAUGAAGAAGUAUAAUAUUUAUACUUUCUUUCACGACAUCUUUUGAAUUAUUAUUUUUGUAUGUUUUUUUUUCUCUAUUAAUUCUCUAAUUUUUCACUUUGAAAGCUAUUUUAUGCAUCGUCUCCGGAGAAAAUGCUAGUAAUUGGAGACCCAAUACAUAAGCCAAAUUUAAUAAUGGGGCCCAUCAAAUAUCUAAUCUCAUGUAUAUAAAUUCCCAUAAUUAAAUGUAAACAUAUUGUAACUUUGACUAUUAGUCCUCUUAAAAUAGAAACACUUUGACAGUUUGACUAGUGAAAGCAAAAAGAUAUUUUUAUCAAAAUUUAUUUGGACCAUACAUUCUCAAUCCACGUGAAUUGCAUAAAGUUUCUUUCUUGUACUCAAAUAAUGAGUGGGGCAAUAUAUCUGCAUGCUUCACUGAUUGAAAAUAUUAUUUUUUUAUUCUUUCCACGUGACAUAUUUUUAUGUACAUCAAAUUCAAAUUCGAAUUGGAAAUGGGGUCACACAUUUGGCAACACAAACCAAAAGUAGGAUAAGAUCAAUUUUGCAAUUUGCAUAGUGGAUGGUCCUUUUACUUAGUUAUUUCUAUGUUACACCCGAUGAAGACUACAUUGAGUGUCUUUUAUCGUUGAUUUAAACAUACUAAUACGAGUGUGUGUGAUUUCUGUCUCAGAGGGUUCUCAGAUGAAUUACCUUGUGCAAGAGGAGCUUUCCCAUUACUUCCAUUGACUGCUUUCACCAAUUCUCCAACUAAUUUGGUCAGAUCUUCAAUUUUUUGAUUAGUCUCUACUCUGUUUCUAGUCAUUUAUGUGUGCAAAUUUGACAACAUCUCUCCUAUUUCACUCUGUAUCUUUUUGUUGAAUGCUAAUUGCUCAUCCAGAUAGACUUCUGCAUCAAAUCUGGUGUUGUCUCCAGAUCCCGUUCUGACAUGACUCCUUGUCAUCAUUCCUAGCUCCUCGCCAGAAACGAUGGCUCUAGAUACCAAUUGUUAUGAUUUCUUCCUCUUGAUGAAUCAUGAAGCUUGAAAUUUACCUGCAAAUGUGAAAUAUGAUGGAUAUGAUAGGGUGAGAAGAAUGAUACUGGCGGCGGUUCUUUAGGCUUAGGUAGAGAUUUCUAGCAAAAGAAACUACACUAUAUUAACCUAAAAGUUACCAGCAAAUUGACGAAAAAAUGGCAGGCUCCUCUCUUGUCUUUUUAUACUGCAAAAGCAGGUGAGAAGAGAGGGGUUCAGGAGUGCUCCUCCUCAUGCAAAGUUGGUGAGCUGCCUCGGUGUAUGAAACGGUGCCGUUUCCCCAUUAUUCAAGCUGAAGUAAUAAAACGUGAAAUAAUAUAAAACGUGUCCACGCUUCUAUGAGUUGAACGACGUCGUUUAUUCCUACGGUAAUUCAAAAUACCGUUUAUUCUGUUACAACGUGUUAUUAUUCUGAUACAAGGUACCUCCGGAGGCGCCAGUAGUGUCGUGAAUUGUCAUUGGAUGAGGAUCAUACAUUAUAGGCAGAUUGAAAUCGGUGGAAAUGCUGCCUUUGUCGGAAUCUACGGCACCGCCUCCUCCACUUAAUAUACGUUGCUAAUUAAUCACCUAUUCUACCACUUAAUCAGUACGUAAUUCAUAGUACGCAAUAAUUUUGAUGUAUUUCAUUACUUAACUCAGGAAUUUCUAGAGAAAGAUGUCGGACGAUAUUCAAACGUAACUUUCAAAGACAAUCCUCAAAUUAUUUACAUCGAUUUAAUGACCAGUUGCAAAUUAAUAAUUUAUAGUAAAAUUUAUUUUCAAUAUAUUUGUAUAAAAAUAUAUAAAAAGAAUUUAUAUAUACAUAAAAAUUUAUAAAUGUUUAUACAGAAUAUUUACACUUUCCCCUAAGUUCACGUAUCCCCAUUUUCGAAAAACCCCGUUUCCGCGUAUCACCGUUUCUGUAUCCGUACUACAUAGACAGUCCAUAUCCUACCCCUUAUAUAAACCUCAACUAGUGGCAUGCAUUAUACACUCAUCUCUCUUCUAUCCAAAAAUCAUGGCCACUAUCUCCGGCCAUUGUCUCAUACUUUUGCUAAUUCUCUUCUUCUUCUCCUUCAACUCUUUGGCAUUUUCAAAGAAAUGCCAUCCAAAUGACAAAAAAGCCCUCCUACAAAUCAAGAAAGACCUCAACAAUCCCUACGAGUUAAUCUCAUGGAAUCCGACCACCGACUGCUGCACCUGGUCCAUGGUGGACUGCGACGAAAAAACCAACCGCAUCACCCGAUUCGACACCUCCGACGCCAAUUUCGGCCUCCCCAUUCCGGCGGCCAUCGGAGACCUCAAGUAUCUCGAAAACCUCGCCUUCCACAAAGUCAACGCCACCGGUCAAAUCCCGGAAUCCAUAACCAAACUCACCAACCUCAAAUUUCUCGAUCUCCGGUGGAACUCUCUCACCGGCCCUGUUCCGUCGUUCCUCAGCAAACUCAAGAAGCUGACGUACAUUGGGCUGUCGUUCAACAGCUUCUCCGGCACGAUUCCGGCGUCGCUCUCCCAGCUCCCGAACCUCGGCGGCCUCCGUUUGGACCGGAACAAACUCACCGGCUCAAUCCCGGAAUCUUUCGCCGAUUUCCGGCAGCAGGAUUUCUACCUCUACCUCUCACACAAUCAGCUGACGGGGAAUAUUCCGGCGAGAUUGGGGCACGCUAACUUCACGUGGAUCGACGUAUCAAGAAACAGGCUUGAAGGUGACAUA
rnacentral:lncRNA from 1 species